CAGCAGUAGCCGCGGUAAUACGUAGGUGGCAAGCGUUGUCCGGAAUUAUUGGGCGUAAAGCGCGCGCAGGUGGUUUAAUAAGUCUGAUGUGAAAGCCCACGGCUCAACCGUGGAGGGUCAUUGGAAACUGUUAAACUUGAGUGCAGGAGAGAAAAGUGGAAUUCCUAGUGUAGCGGUGAAAUGCGUAGAGAUUAGGAGGAACACCAGUGGCGAAGGCGGCUUUUUGGCCUGUAACUGACACUGAGGCGCGAAAGCGUGGGGAGCAAACAGGAUUAGAUACCCCCGUAGUCCCUGUCUCUUAUAC
rnacentral:rRNA from 1 species